rnacentral:rRNA from 1 species
GGGUUGUGAGGUUAAGCGACUAAGCGUACACGGUGGAUGCCCUGGCAGUCAGAGGCGAUGAAGGACGUGCUAAUCUGCGAUAAGCGCCGGUAAGGUGAUAUGAACCGUUAUAACCGGCGAUUUCCGAAUGGGGAAACCCAGUGUGACUCGUCACACUAUCAUUAACUGAAUCCAUAGGUUAAUGAGGCGAACCGGGGGAACUGAAACAUCUAAGUACCCCGAGGAAAAGAAAUCAACCGAGAUUCCCCCAGUAGCGGCGAGCGAACGGGGAGGAGCCCAGAGCCUGAAUCAGCAUGUGUGUUAGUGGAAGCGUCUGGAAAGGCGCGCGAUACAGGGUGACAGCCCCGUACACAAAAGCGCAUGUGCUGUGAGCUCGAUGAGUAGGGCGGGACACGUGGUAUCCUGUCUGAAUAUGGGGGGACCAUCCUCCAAGGCUAAAUACUCCUGACUGACCGAUAGUGAACCAGUACCGUGAGGGAAAGGCGAAAAGAACCCCGGCGAGGGGAGUGAAAAAGAACCUGAAACCGUGUACGUACAAGCAGUGGGAGCACAGGUUUACCUGUGUGACUGCGUACCUUUUGUAUAAUGGGUCAGCGACUUAUAUUCUGUAGCAAGGUUAACCGUAUAGGGGAGCCGGAGGGAAACCGAGUCUUAACCGGGCGUUAAGUUGCAGGGUAUAGACCCGAAACCCGGUGAUCUAGCCAUGGGCAGGUUGAAGGUUGGGUAACACUAACUGGAGGACCGAACCGACUAAUGUUGAAAAAUUAGCGGAUGACCUGUGGCUGGGGGUGAAAGGCCAAUCAAACCGGGAGAUAGCUGGUUCUCCCCGAAAGCUAUUUAGGUAGCGCCUCGUGAAUUCAUCUCCGGGGGUAGAGCACUGUUUCGGCUAGGGGGCCAUCCCGGCUUACCAACCCGAUGCAAACUGCGAAUACCGGAGAAUGUUAUCACGGGAGACACACGGCGGGUGCUAACGUCCGUCGUGAAGAGGGAAACAACCCAGACCGCCAGCUAAGGUCCCAAAGUCAUGGUUAAGUGGGAAACGAUGUGGGAAGGCCCAGACAGCCAGGAUGUUGGCUUAGAAGCAGCCAUCAUUUAAAGAAAGCGUAAUAGCUCACUGGUCGAGUCGGCCUGCGCGGAAGAUGUAACGGGGCUAAACCAUGCACCGAAGCUGCGGCAGCGACGCUGAUGCGUUGUUGGGUAGGGGAGCGUUCUGUAAGCCUGCGAAGGUGGCCUGUGAGGGUUGCUGGAGGUAUCAGAAGUGCGAAUGCUGACAUAAGUAACGAUAAAGCGGGUGAAAAGCCCGCUCGCCGGAAGACCAAGGGUUCCUGUCCAACGUUAAUCGGGGCAGGGUGAGUCGACCCCUAAGGCGAGGCCGAAAGGCGUAGUCGAUGGGAAACGGGUUAAUAUUCCCGUACUUGGUGUUACUGCGAAGGGGGGACGGAGAAGGCUAUGUUGGCCGGGCGACGGUUGUCCCGGUUUAAGCGUGUAGGUGUGUGUUCCAGGUAAAUCCGGUUCACUUUAACACUGAGGCGUGACGACGAGGCACUACGGUGCUGAAGCAACAAAUGCCCUGCUUCCAGGAAAAGCCUCUAAGCAUCAGGUAACAUCAAAUCGUACCCCAAACCGACACAGGUGGUCAGGUAGAGAAUACCAAGGCGCUUGAGAGAACUCGGGUGAAGGAACUAGGCAAAAUGGUGCCGUAACUUCGGGAGAAGGCACGCUGACAUGUAGGUGAAGUGAUUUACUCAUGGAGCUGAAGUCAGUCGAAGAUACCAGCUGGCUGCAACUGUUUAUUAAAAACACAGCACUGUGCAAACACGAAAGUGGACGUAUACGGUGUGACGCCUGCCCGGUGCCGGAAGGUUAAUUGAUGGGGUCAGCGCAAGCGAAGCUCCUGAUCGAAGCCCCGGUAAACGGCGGCCGUAACUAUAACGGUCCUAAGGUAGCGAAAUUCCUUGUCGGGUAAGUUCCGACCUGCACGAAUGGCGUAAUGAUGGCCAGGCUGUCUCCACCCGAGACUCAGUGAAAUUGAACUCGCUGUGAAGAUGCAGUGUACCCGCGGCAAGACGGAAAGACCCCGUGAACCUUUACUAUAGCUUGACACUGAACAUUGAGCCUUGAUGUGUAGGAUAGGUGGGAGGCUUUGAAGUGUGGACGCCAGUCUGCAUGGAGCCGACCUUGAAAUACCACCCUUUAAUGUUUGAUGUUCUAACGUGGACCCGUUACCCGGGUUGCGGACAGUGUCUGGUGGGUAGUUUGACUGGGGCGGUCUCCUCCUAAAGAGUAACGGAGGAGCACGAAGGUUGGCUAAUCCUGGUCGGACAUCAGGAGGUUAGUGCAAUGGCAUAAGCCAGCUUGACUGCGAGCGUGACGGCGCGAGCAGGUGCGAAAGCAGGUCAUAGUGAUCCGGUGGUUCUGAAUGGAAGGGCCAUCGCUCAACGGAUAAAAGGUACUCCGGGGAUAACAGGCUGAUACCGCCCAAGAGUUCAUAUCGACGGCGGUGUUUGGCACCUCGAUGUCGGCUCAUCACAUCCUGGGGCUGAAGUAGGUCCCAAGGGUAUGGCUGUUCGCCAUUUAAAGUGGUACGCGAGCUGGGUUUAGAACGUCGUGAGACAGUUCGGUCCCUAUCUGCCGUGGGCGCUGGAGAACUGAGGGGGGCUGCUCCUAGUACGAGAGGACCGGAGUGGACGCAUCACUGGUGUUCGGGUUGUCAUGCCAAUGGCACUGCCCGGUAGCUAAAUGCGGAAGAGAUAAGUGCUGAAAGCAUCUAAGCACGAAACUUGCCCCGAGAUGAGUUCUCCCUGAGACUUAGAGUCUCCUGAAGGAACGUUGAAGACGACGACGUUGAUAGGCCGGGUGUGUAAGCGCAGCGAUGCGUUGAGCUAACCGGUACUAAUGAACCGUGAGGCUUAACCUUACAACGCCGAAG